rnacentral:tRNA from 1 species
CGGGACAUGGCGCAGCCUGGUAGCGCACCUGCUUUGGGAGCAGGGGGUCGCAGGUUCAAAUCCUGCUGUCCCGACCA